AGGAACAGAAGAGGAGCGUUAACUAGGUAGUCAAUCAGAGGAGCACAAACUCCAGCGAUGAUUGAUGAGGGAGAUUAGCGCCGAGGCAUAGAUGUGGUUGCUGCAUGUUUAUGUCGGUCGCUUAGGCUGAAUCCUAACGAUUGUCACCUGUAAUUGGUGGAGAGCUUCUGGUGAC
rfam:Shewanella oneidensis MR-1, complete genome.